rnacentral:tRNA from 1 species
GCCCCCUUAGCUCAGAGGUAGAGCACUUCCAUGGUAAGGAAGGGGUCCGGGGUUCAAUUCCCCGAGGGGGCU